GACGAACGCUGGCGGCGUGCUUAACACAUGCAAGUCGAACGGAAAGGCCCUGCUUUUGUGGGGUGCUCGAGUGGCGAACGGGUGAGUAACACGUGAGUAACCUGCCCUUGACUUUGGGAUAACUUCAGGAAACUGGGGCUAAUACCGGAUAGGAGCUCCUGCUGCAUGGUGGGGGUUGGAAAGUUUCGGCGGUUGGGGAUGGACUCGCGGCUUAUCAGCUUGUUGGUGGGGUAGUGGCUUACCAAGGCUUUGACGGGUAGCCGGCCUGAGAGGGUGACCGGCCACAUUGGGACUGAGAUACGACCCAGACUCCUACGGGAGGCAGCAGUGGGGAAUAUUGCACAAUGGGCGGAAGCCUGAUGCAGCAACGCCGCGUGCGGGAUGACGGCCUUCGGGUUGUAAACCGCUUUCGCCUGCGACGAAGCGUGAGUGACGGUAAUGGGUAAAGAAGCACCGGCUAACUACGUG
rnacentral:rRNA from 1 species